rnacentral:lncRNA from 1 species
GGAAUCUGUGGCAGACACAGAGCUGGGGCUAGAACAGAGCUGCUUUUUUUCUUUUUUUUUUCCCCUUUCCUUUUUCCUUUUUUCUCUUUUUGGUUUCUGGUCUUGUGCUUUAACUGCCUAAUCUGUGUCUAGGCUCCACUUCCUUGUUAGAGGAGGGACACUGUGGAAAGCUGCCUCAGCUGCCUGCCUUUGAGCAGGGGUGAAGAGUAGGAGCCAGCUACCUCCGCAGCACCAGGCUCACACUGAGGGCAAGUUAGAGCCAKGCUGCCGUUCCUAGCAGAGGGGAGAGUCUCGGACAGCCAACUCCCGUGGGAAAGCAGGUUUUGGAGGAAAAUGGGCUAGGACUCAUGGAGAGUGUUGGCAACGCUGAUGAUUUAGAAAAGGACCUAUUGUUGAAUUACAGGCUUGAAGUGAUGGCAGCUUCCUUUGAAGGCAGAAAAACCUUGAAGAAACAGGUGUUUUUUGUAGAAGAGACGAGUCUCUGCUCURUGCUUGUAGUCCGCUUGAAACACAGCAUCACUAAUCUUCAGUGGGGUCUCUACUCAGCUGUGCAAACAUGCUCUUUUUGAGGAUUAAACC